UACGUAGGGCGCAAGCGUUAUCCGGAAUUAUUGGGCGUAAAGAGCUCGUAGGCGGUUUGUCGCGUCUGCUGUGAAAGACCGGGGCUCAACUCCGGUUCUGCAGUGGGUACGGGCAGACUAGAGUGCAGUAGGGGAGACUGGAAUUCCUGGUGUAGCGGUGAAAUGCGCAGAUAUCAGGAGGAACACCGAUGGCGAAGGCGGCCUACUGGGCUGCACCUGACGCUGAGCCGCGAAAGCCAGGGGAGCGAACGGG
rnacentral:rRNA from 1 species